CCUUUAAGUUUCAGACUUGCGUCCGUACUUCCCAGGCGGCAAACUUAACGGCUUCCCUGCGGCACUGCAUUGGCCAUAAGCCAAUGCAUCACCGAGUUUGCAUCGUUUACAGCUGGGACUACCCGGGUAUCUAAUCCGGUUUGCUCCCCCAGCUUUCAUCCCUCACCGUCGAACGCGUUCUGGUAGACCGCCUUCGCCACUGGUGGUCCUCUAUGGAUCAGUGGAUUUUACCCCUACCCACAGAAUACCGUCUACCUCUCCCGCUCCCUAGCUUUGUAGUAUCUCCGACAGCCCAUCUGUUAAGCUGCUGGAUUUAACCGGAGACUUGCAAAGCCGGCUACGGAUGCUUU
rnacentral:rRNA from 1 species